UAGAGAUGAGACCUCACUAUGUUGAUCAGGCUGGUCUUGAACUCCAGGCCUCAAGCAAUCCUCCUGCCUCAGCCUCCUAAAUUGCUGGAAUGAUUACAGGCACGGGCCACCACACCUAGCCUCACUGACUUCAACUGCUUUUAAUCCCAUAUCUGCAGAGCUAAAAGAAUAUCAACAGAGGAACAGCCUUGGUGAUCCGGCAGGAGCGAAGACAAAAAAGAAAAAAACUGAAAGUAGUACUGAGAAAACCACUUCUGAUUCUCAAAGCAGUUUCAGGGAAAACUUCUCUCCAGGUUUUAUCUGAAGAUAUUUCCUUUUUCACCAUAGGCCUAUAAGUGCUCCCGAAUAUCCCUUUGCAAAUUACACAAAAACAGUACUAGCAAACUGCCUAAUGAAAGAAAAAGGUUAACUCUGUGAGGGGAAUUCAAACAACACAAAGCAGUUUCUCAAAAAGCUUCCAUCUAGUUUUCAUCCCAGGAAGUGUCGUUUUUCACCAUAUUUUUCACAGUGUUCCCAAACGUUUCUCAGAAAGCUUCUUAUCCGUUUGUCUCUGAGGAUAUGUCCUUUCUCACCACAGGCUUCAAAGCACUCCCAAAUAUCCCUUUUUAGCCUUGACACCAAAAGUGUUUCCACACUGCUCUCUGAAAAGAGAGGUAUAACUCUGUGAGUGGAAUGCAUACAUCACAAAGCAGUCUCACAGAAAGCUUCUCUCCUGUUUUUAUCUGGAGUUAUUUCCUUUUUCACCAGAGGCCUCAAAGGGCUCCCGCAUAUGCCUUCUCAGACGACACAGAAAAAGUAUUAUCAAACUGCUAUAUGAAAAGAAAAGGUUAACUCUGCGAGAGGAAUUCACACGACCCAAAGCAGUUUCUCGGAAAGCUUCCUUCUAGUUUUCUUUUUCACCAUAGUUUUCAUAGCGUUCCCAAGUGUCCCUUCUAAGAUUCCACAAAAACAGUGCAUACAAACUGCUCAAUCCAAAGGGUUACUUCAUUCUAGGAGGCAAAUACAUAUGUCACAAAGCAGUUUCACAGAAAGCUAUGCUCCAGUUUUUAUCUGAAGAUAUUUCCCUUUUCACCAUAGGCCUCAAAGCGCUCCUGAAUAUCCCUUCGCAAAUUACACAGAAAGAGUCCUGGCAAACUGCUCAAACAAAAGUAAGCGUUCACUCUGCAAGGGGAAAUCACACAACACAAAGCAGUUUCUCAGAAAGCUUCCUUCUAGUUUUCAUCCGAGGACGCUUCCUUUUCUACCAUAUUUCUCAUAGCGUUCCCAAAUGACCCUUCUCGGAUUCCACAAAAACAGCCAUUUCAAACUGCUUAAUCCAAAGCGUAGUUUAGCUCUAUGAGGUGAAUACACACAUCACAAAACAGUUACUCAGAAAGCUUCUUUCCAGUUUGUUUCUGAGGAUAUUUCCUUUCUCACCGUUGGCUUCAAAGCGCUUUGAAAUAUCCCUUGUUAGCUUUUACACCAAAAGUGUGUACACAGUGCUGGGUGAAAAGGGUGGUAUAACUCUGUGUGUGGAAUGUACACAUCACAAAGCAGUCUCUCAGAAAGCUUCUCUCCCGUUUUUAUCUGGAGUUAUUUCCUUUUUCACCAGAGGCCUGAAAGGGCUUCUAUAUAUCCCUUCUCAGGUGACACAGAAACAGUGUUAUCAAACUGCUAUAUGAAAAGAAAAGGUUAACUCUGCGAGAAGAAUUCACGUGACCAAAAGCAUUUUCUCAAAGCUUCCUUCUAGUUUUCAUCCAAGGACGCUUCCUUCUCCACAAUAUUUUUCAUAGCGUUCCAAAUGUUCCCCUCUCAGAUUCCACAAAAACAGUGAUUUCAAACUGCUCAAUCCCAAGGGUUGCUUAGCUUUAGGUGACGAAUACUGUCCAGUUUUCAUUUGAAGAUAGUUGUUUGCUCAACAUAGGCCUCAAGGCACCACCGAAUGUGCUUUCGUGGCAAAGACAGAGUUUCCAAAUUGUGCAAUGUAAGGAAGCUUUAUCUAGAUGAGUUGAAUGAACAUAUCACAAAGCAGUUUCUCAGAAAGCUUCUUUCCAGUUUUUAUCUGAGGAUAUUUCCUUUUUCACCUUAGGCUUCAGUGAGCUCCGAAAUAUCCCUUGGUAGCUUUUUUGCUAAAAGUCUUUCCAUCCUGCUCUAUGAGGAGAAAUGUAUUACUCUUAGAGUGGAAUGCACACAUCACAAAGCAGUUUCUCAGAAAGCUUCCUUCUAGUUUUCAUCCGUGGAUGCUUCCUUUUCCACCAUAUUUCUCAUAGAGUUCUGAAAUGACCCUUUUCGGAUUCCACAAAAACAGCCAUUUCAAACUGCUCAAUCCAAAACGUGGUUUAGCUCUAUGAGAUGAACACACAUCACAAAGUUGUUACUCAGAAAGCUUCUUUCCAGUUUAUUUCUGAGGGUGUUUCCUUUCUCGCCAUUGGCUUCAAAGCGCUUUGAAAUAUCCAUUGUUAGCUUUAACACCAAAAGCGUGUACACAGUGCUCGAUGAAAAGGGUGGUAUAACUCUGUGCGUGGAAUGCGCACAUCACAAAGGAGGUUCACAGAAAGCUUCUCUCCAGUUUUUAUCUGGAGAGAUUUCCUUUUUCACCAGAGGCCUGGAAGGGUUCCCGCAUAUCCCUUCUCAAGCGACACAGAAACAGUGUUAUUAAACUGCUAUAUGAAAUGAAAA